GAUGAACGCUGGCGGCGCGCCUAACACAUGCAAGUCGAACGAUUAAAGCACCUUCGGGUGUGUAUAGAGUGGCUAACGGCUAAGUAACACGUGGUCAACCUGCCCCUCUCAUUGGGAUAGCCACCGGAAACCGUGGAUAAUACCGAAUACUUCGGGACUUCCGCAUGGAAGACUCGACAAAGCUCCUGCGGAGAGUGAUGGGCCAGCGGCCUGUUAGCUUGUUGGUGGGGUAAUGGCCUACCAAGGAAAUGAUGGGUAGCUGGGUUGAGAGACCGACCAGCCAGCCUGGGACUGAGACACGGACGACACUCAUACGGACGGCAGCCGUGGGGAAUGUUGCAUAAUGGGCGAACGAAUGCCGCAGCGACGCAGGGCGCGGGAUGAAGGAAUUCGGGCGGUAAAUCGCCUUCAGCAGGGACGAGGCGAAAGUGACGGUAACUUCAGAAGAAGCCACGGCUAACCACGUG
rnacentral:rRNA from 1 species